rnacentral:rRNA from 1 species
UGAAAGAUGGAUUUGCGGCGGAGGGUGAGUACACGUGGGUAACCUGCCUGUAAGACUGGGAUAACUCCGGGAAACCGGAGCUAAUACCGGAUAGUUCCUUGAACCGCAUGGUUCAAGGAUGAAAGACGGUUUCGGCUGUCACUUACAGAUGGACCCGCGGCGCAUUAGCUAGUUGGUGAGGUAACGGCUCACCAAGGCGACGAUGCGUAGCCGACCUGAGAGGGUGAUCGGCCACACUGGGACUGAGACACGGCCCAGACUCCUACGGGAGGCAGCAGUAGGGAAUCUUCCGCAAUGGACGAAAGUCUGACGGAGCAACGCCGCGUGAGUGAUGAAGGUUUUCGGAUCGUAAAGCUCUGUUGUUAGGGAAGAACAAGUGCAAGAGUAACUGCUUGCACCUUGACGGUACCUAACCAGAAAGCCACGGCUAACUACGUGCCAGCAGCCGCGGUAAUACGUAGGUGGCAAGCGUUGUCCGGAAUUAUUGGGCGUAAAGGGCUCGCAGGCGGUUUCUUAAGUCUGAUGUGAAAGCCCCCGGCUCAACCGGGGAGGGUCUGG